UGAGAACGAAAAAAAGCUCUCCCUCCUCUCUCGUAUUUCUCUGCGAAACAACGAUAACAAACAAAAACAAGGAGAACUCUCAGCCUCUCUCGAUCUCGUCUCGUCUCUCGAAUCGUUCGCUCUCUCUUGCUCUUGCGGUGAAGAUUCAAAUAACAACAUUAAAACGCCACUCUCUCUCGAUGCAACUCUGUCUCGGUCUCACCCGCUCGCUCACGUUAUUCUCUCGUGAUUUCUCAUCAACGAGAACAACACAGCAAUCAAUAAUGAGUUCAAGCAACAAGCCCUUAACCCUUUGCAACCCAAUAUCCCAAUAAUUUCGUUCAGAUCAGUUAUAGAUUACAACAAAGUACAAGCAUUAACCAGAAAUUUGAAGCAAGAUAAAUGAUAACCUAAACAAGUAUGAGUCAGGAACGAUGGAGAUCUGUCAAGCUUCAACUUCAAUGGCAAUUUUCGAGUUAUUGCAUGGCUAUUUUGGUGAAAAUUGUGGCUUAUGAAGCAGGCUUUGGACUAUUAUGGAAGCGUAGCAGCAAGUGGAGCAGAGGCGAGGCAUGAAGAAAGUGAAGACCUUUUUUUGUUUAAUUUCUGUACUAUUUUUUCAUGUAAAAUGGGCUUCUAACUAAAUGGGCCUAGACUAAUAAAAACUCUCUCCUUUUUUUGUUA